GCCAAAUUGGAAGUCCAUGAAAACAAAUGGAAAUCUUUCUCUAUGUUCAGUUUACUUGGAACCAGUUCCUAUGCCAAUACAUGAACAUCUGAUGUCAUUCAAGCUGCACAAGGUAAUUCUGCAUUGUUGAUACUCUAGAAGGAACAGAAGAACUUCAUGGAACGUUGCAUGAAAUACCUGGAGUGCAGUCCAAGUGCCAAGUCCCAGAAGGAGAAGAUACAGUAUAGGCCAUCAGCAGCUGGCUGGAAGCCCUCUGAAUCAGGACAAGUUGUUCUCUUGAAUUUGGUGACUUUGCACUGGACUGUUGUUGGGUAAAGUUUAUGUCAGUUUUUAUUCCUGUUUGCUUUCAACAAACACUCCAAGCAAAAAAGAAAACUUAUGUCCUGAAAAUAAGAUGAAAGUACAGAAUGGAGCAAUACCUGCACAUAUGAAAUGACUUUUGAUGCCAGAAAGUAGGAGAGUUUAGCAGGCUAGGAGAUCAUCCAGGGAACUCUGCAAGAACAAUGAUGUUCUGCUGCUUGCUCAUAAAUGCAUACCUUUGAUUCUCCUGAAGUUCACUUUUGUACAUCAUACUGAAACCAUAUUAGCAUUGGCUCUGUCCUGCAAAAAUGUGAUCAUAAAUGUUCAUGUACAAGGCGCCACAUGUAUUUCCUUUGAUAAUGUUCCUAAGUUCUUUUAUUCAUCCUUUGAGAACUGUUGUAAAAGCAAAUAUUUGUUCACAAGAGUAUUUCCAGAAUGUGAAAACGUGACGAACAAUCAUGCAAACAGGUAUCUGUGUGAAUAUUUGAAUAGCAGGUUUGCUUUAAAGUCCUCCUGAUGUUAAGGAUCUGAAUGAGAGAGAACAGAGUACCUUCAAUAGUAAAGGCAGAAAUAACCCCCUCCCCCUCAAAAAAAAAACCAAAGAAUUCCAAAACCAGACAAAAUUUGGAGGUUCCCCAAAUCAGAGUGGUUUCUUAUAACUUUGCUAUACUAGGCAGAAUUCUAAUCUCUUUUUAAUUCAAAUUCCUUCAACAAAAGGCUAAGUGAAAUCAUUAUUAUGCUAACAGAAAAGGCCUUUUAAAGUAUGGGAUGCUCAAUACACAGCAGAACCCUCUGCUGCUUCAAUCCAAGCUAAUGCUCUAAGUUCUUUAGUAGAUCCAGGCACCUUUUAACAAUUUUCUCCUUUUGAGUUUAUGACUUGUUGGUGUAAGGUUGUGGAAACCUCUUAAAUGCUUAUACUUUUUAGUCUGGUGAUUAUUUUUCUAUGUCAACAAAUAGGAUUGAAACCUCCAUGGGUUUAUGAAAGUUUUGGAUUCAGGUCUUUUACUUCCAUGGAAGUGCUUUGACCACAUAAAUGCCAACACUGCAAACAUGCGGAAGACCCAAAGAGUUAUGCUUCUAGUAUAUCUUGCAAUAUUGUGUUACCAUCAAGGAUUCUGUUAGGGAUGUGGCUGAAGAAAGACCUGUAUGUACUUAGCUCAUUGAAAAUACUGUUGAAGACAUGCACAAACACAGAUUUAGACUACUGAGGAGGUGUCUAAAUUCACCGGUGUCUGUGUCUAAAUUAAUACUUCCCUGGAAGGCUGAAUAUCUCCAUAGAAAGCACCAUAUUACUAGGUCCUUUUAAAUGUAGACAAAGCCUCUUUCAUCAAGCAAAUCUUCCACAGAGCUGUAACACUGAAAUACUUAGUCUGUUUGGCAGAUCUACCUGGAAAAUAGGGACAGUUCCCAGCCAAAAUGGCCAAUCUGUCUGCCCUUC